AAAACUUUUGCUUUAUUUUUAUGUUACAGGUAUUGCAGCUUGUGUCUACUCUUUCCAUUUCUGCACCAUCUGUUCUUGAAGGAUUUUGAGUCCAGGUCACCCAUGUGGGUCAACCCAGAUCCAUGUCUAUUUUUAAUAAAAUAAAAAAAAGGAAAUUAAGUAGCUUCUGCAUGGCAGUUAUGUUUCCCUUGCAAAAGAUGCAACUUUUGGCCAAAGGUUGCUACAUUCCUAUACGUGUAAAUAAAAAUGGC
rnacentral:misc_RNA from 1 species